rnacentral:tRNA from 1 species
GCAGGUCAGAGGCACAACAGACGUGCCCUCGCCAGGCGCCUUCUAAGCGCUUGGCCGCAGGUUCGAGUCCUGCCGGGGGCG